rnacentral:rRNA from 1 species
AUUGAACGCUGGCGGCAGGCCUAACACAUGCAAGUCGAACGAGUGGCGGACGGGUGAGUAAUGUCUGGGAAACUGCCUGAUGGAGGGGGAUAACUACUGGAAACGGUAGCUAAUACCGCAUACCAUCGGAUGUACCCAGAUGGGAUUAGCUUGUUGGUGGGGUAACGGCUCACCAAGGCGACGAUCCCUAGCUGGUCUGAGAGGAUGACCAGCCACCCUGGAACUGAGACACGGUCCAGACUCCUACGGGAGGCAGCAGUGGGGAAUAUUGCACAAUGGGCGCAAGCCUGAUGCAGCCAUGCCGCGUGUAUGAAGAAGGCCUUCGGGUUGUAAAGUACUUUCAGCGGGGAGGCGUUACCCGCAGAAGAAGCACCGGCUAACUCCGUGCCAGCAGCCGCGGUAAUAC